GGGCGCGUAGCUCAAUGGUAGAGCAGCGGCCUUUUAAGCCGUUGGUUGGGAGUUCGAGCCUCCCCGCGCUCA
rnacentral:tRNA from 1 species